rnacentral:misc_RNA from 1 species
GAGAAUCAUGCCCCCUGGGUAGAUCCUCCCACCCUUUGAAUACAUACCAUUGUUGCUUUGGCGGGCCGCCUCGGCUGUGGGCUUCGGCUCGCAAGUGCCCGCCAGAGGACCGUAACCCUGAAUUACCGUGUCGUCCGAGUACUAUCUAAUAGUUA